UUAGAAUUUAGAAAAGCAACUUUAGUUUACUUCUUGGAACCCUUUAUGUUGAAACCUUAGUUGAAUUACAAACAAUUUGGAUUUGUACCUGUGUGCCACCUGUUUGCCUGCCUGCCUGCCUGCCUGCCAUUCCCCCUCCCCGCUUUCCUUGCUUGGCCUACCACCUUUGCCUGCCUUCUUGCCUGCCUGCCUGCCUUCUUGCCUGCCUGCCUGCCUGCCAGCCAUUGCCUCUCUACCUCGGUCGGCCUGCAUGCCUGCUUGCCUCCAUUUUGGACAUUCUACCUCCACCUUCAAAAGGGUAUGAGCAACAGCUGUACACAGUGUUUUAAGAUAAGCGUGUGACAAGAACUAUACAACAUCUAACCUUUGAAAUUUAAACUGAACUGAAACUGACACUCCCAAAAACAGAAAAGUCCACGGU